rnacentral:misc_RNA from 1 species
GAUGAAGAACGCAGCGAAAUGCGAUAAGUAAUGUGAAUUGCAGAAUUCAGUGAAUCAUCGAAUCUUUGAACGCACAUUGCGCCCGCCAGUAUUCUGGCGGGCAUGCCUGUUCGAGCGUCAUUUCAACCAUCAAGCCCCCGGCUUGUGUUGGGGACCUGCGGCUGCCGCAGGCCCUGAAAACCAGUGGCGGGCUCGCUAGUCACUCCGAGCGUAGUAAUACAUCUCGCUCAGGGCGUGCUGCGGGUUCCGGCCGUUAAAAGCCUUAUUUACCCAAGGUUGACCUCGGAUCAGGUAGGAAGACCCGCUGAACUUAAGAAUAUCAAUAAGCGGAGGA